GUGGACGCCAGUCUGCAUGGAGCCGACCUUGAAAUACCACCCUUUAAUGUUUGAUGUUCUAACGUGGACCCGUGAUCCGGGUUGCGGACAGUGUCUGGUGGGUAGUUUGACUGGGGCGGUCUCCUCCUAAAGAGUAACGGAGGAGCACGAAGGUUGGCUAAUCCUGGUCGGACAUCAGGAGGUUAGUGCAAUGGCAUAAGCCAGCUUGACUGCGAGCGUGACGGCGCGAGCAGGUGCGAAAGCAGGUCAUAGUGAUCCGGUGGUUCUGAAUGGAAGGGCCAUCGCUCAACGGAUAAAAGGUACUCCGGGGAUAACAGGCUGAUACCGCCCAAGAGUUCAUAUCGACGGCGGUGUUUGGCACCUCGAUGUCGGCUCAUCACAUCCUGGGGCUGAAGUAGGUCCCAAGGGUAUGGCUGUUCGCCAUUUAAAGUGGUACGCGAGCUGGGUUUAGAACGUCGUGAGACAGUUCGGUCCCUAUCUGCCGUGGGCGCUGGAGAACUGAGGGGGGCUGCUCCUAGUACGAGAGGACCGGAGUGGACGCAUCACUGGUGUUCGGGUUGUCAUGCCAAUG
rnacentral:rRNA from 1 species